rnacentral:rRNA from 1 species
AGUGAACGCUGGCGGUAGGCCUAACACAUGCAAGUCGAACGGCAGCACAGUAAGAGCUUGCUCUUACGGGUGGCGAGUGGCGGACGGGUGAGGAAUACAUCGGAAUCUACUUUUUCGUGGGGGAUAACGUAAGGAAACUUACGCUAAUACCGCAUACGACCUACGGGUGAAAGCAGGGGAUCUUCGGACCUUGCGCGAUUGAAUGAGCCGAUGUCGGAUUAGCUAGUUGGCGGAGUAAAGGCCCACCAAGGCGACGAUCCGUAGCUGGUCUGAGAGGAUGAUCAGCCACACUGGAACUGAGACACGGUCCAGACUCCUACGGGAGGCAGCAGUGGGGAAUAUUGGACAAUGGGCGCAAGCCUGAUCCAGCCAUACCGCGUGGGUGAAGAAGGCCUUCGGGUUGUAAAGCCCUUUUGUUGGGAAAGAAAAGCAGCAGGUUAAUACCCCGCUGUUCUGACGGUACCCAAAGAAUAAGCACCGGCUAACUUCGUG